UUUAAUGUUGACGAAGGAAAUGUGAAGAAUUUCAUUUUAAGAAACAUCAGAAAAAAAUGGAAGGAUAAUAGAUGCAAGUUAUACCAUGAGUACUAUGAUCCCACUAUUGGUCGAGAGGCAAAUCUUGCAAAACAUCCACCAGGAAUCUCACAAGACCAGUGGGCAAGUUUCAUUGAUUAUCGAGCACGCGAAAAAACUAAGGAGAUGUGUCUACAAAAUAGUGAAAAUCGAUCCAAAUUGACAAUCCCACACACUGGAGGAUCAAAGAGUCUAGCAAGAAAAAAACAUGAGAUGGAAAUUGAGAGUGGUCAACCAGUGAGUAGGGGUUUAUUAUACAUCGCGACACAUAAGAAGAAAGACGGAUCUUUUGUGA